rnacentral:lncRNA from 1 species
GGGGCUGUAGGUGUCCUCAGGCAGCUGUACCGUCGGUCUUUGAAGCCAGAAAAGCCCACUCCCCUCUCAGAGGUCGUGUGUGCCCCUCUCUAAUGCAAAACCGUGACCCUGGCCCAAGGGUUGCUUGCAAGGAGUGAGGGUGAACUGUCAAGUGUGAGCUGGCCCGCAGGGGGGCGCCGCAGCAGCAGAGUGGGUGAUACUUAGCCAUUCUAGUGCAUAGACCUGACCGGUUUCAACUUCCUCACUAUGGUAGCUGCAUGGGCCCCAAGACCUUCUGGAAUGCUCUGCAAUGAUUUGUAAAAGUUCAUGUCACUGAUGGGGCUCUGUGUGUGUGUACCUGGUGGGGCAUGUGUGUGUGUGCCUGCACCCUAGUGGAAUGUGUGUGUGUGAUUGUCUUUUUUCAGGAAAAAGUCUCCAGGCUUUAUGAGUUAUUUCAGGGCAUCUGUGACCCAGGAAGGGGAGAAGGAGUCCCAUUCCUGGCCUGGGGAGAUCAGAGCUGCUCAGGGCUCCCUGCGCACGAACUCCUAGAAGGCAGGGGACCGUCGCCAUCUUUCCGCCAAAAACCUCUAGAGAAAGUGCUUCGUGCAUCUUGGUGCUGAAGGAACGUUUGAAUCAAAUUGCCAGAGGUGAUCGUGACGUCGCCUUUGCCCUCUUGGCAUCCUGCUGAGUGGGCAGGAAGGUGAGCUAUCAUCCUACUGAGUGGCAGGAAGCUGAGCCAUCAGGCAAAGUCUUUUCCCUCCUUUCUUCCUCUUACCACAUAGUGGCACAUCCCAGCCCCAUCUUAAAACAAAACAAACAAACAAAAACAUGGUAUCUUGUUGGCAUCAUUAUAAGGAAGAAAACAAAAACAAAAACAAAACAAGCAAACAAAAACAUGCUAUCUUAUUGGCACCAUAUGAGUCCAUGGACCAAAUUAACUGUAUUACAAUGUUUGUGGUGUGCAUGCAGGCAGAAUUUGGUUGGACGGGGGCUAAAAGAGGGUUCUUGCUAAUGACUCAUCUGUCUCUUGAACAUUAGAGAGAGGUACACAGAGUCCUCAUCCGAAACGUUUCUCUAUUGUUCUGUUUGUUUUUCAUUACUCUGAAAUGAUUACUGCAAAAAUUCUUAAAUUGGAUGCUUUUCAGAGAGGAAGAUUAAGGCCCAUAAGCACAAGCUCGCAGCUGUGUUAAAAAGAGCAUGCAUCUGGGGUGCCUCGGGAUGCUCCGGGGAGGGAGCUUCAGCAGCUUCACCUUGGGCUCUCGAGAGCACUAAAGGAAACUUCCAGGCCUCUUGGGGGUACGUCUGCCAUGCUCCCUCUGUGAGUUCUGCAUGGAACUGAGUGGGCAGCUGGUAGCGUUUCUGCCCAAGCUCAAUGCCAUCUCGUUGACAUUGUUUAACUAAAGCCCCUCAGCGAGUUUCAGUUGGGGAUGCGUUUCCAUAACGCCGAGACAAGCACGCAGAGGCAGUCUGUAGAAAUGCAGAGACCUUGAGCAAAUGCACAGGAAGAAGGGAAACCCAGUCUUGAUGUGCUCACCAGAAUUCUCUGCCGUCUCGUCUCAGCGACUGCCUGGGCGGUUGUUUGAGAAAGGGUCAGUUCUCAUUGGAGAGUCCUAUAUUUGUUAUCCACAUGUUGUGGUUAGACAGUCACCACUUGUCCUAUUUCUAGACUGAGGGGGGAAGUAUUUGUGCUGUCUGCUCAGCUCCAAGGUCAUCCCAGCCCACAGCUGCCAGGGUCACCACAGAGGGCACCAGAAGCAGCUUUACGUUGUAUGAGUAAGCUGAGGUUCCCCAAGGAGGAGGGAUCUUCCUCUACUUCUCUGGGAGUAGCCCCCCUCCUCCCAUAUACACACUGCACAGAUACACAGAGGCAGGCCCUUGCCAAAGCUAACUGGCCCAGAGUGGAACCGACCCAGGAAAAAGCUAUCCAGAUACCGGCCUAAUCACAUUCUCUUUUGGUUCAUGUUUUCUUGAUUGCAAGUGGCAAAACUGUUAUCACAAACAAAACAGAAUUUAUUGGCUUACGUGACUAAGAAGUUCAGGUGUGGCUUGAUCCAGGGGCUGUCACCCCCCUACUCUUUUUUCCAUCCUCCUGCUUUCCUUCCCCUUCCUCCCUUCCCUCUCUCUUUUGGCUUUAUUCUCUGGUGGGUUUCUCUCCUUGUCAUGUCUCCAGCAGCUCUGAGCUUACAUCCUCACAGGCCACAUAGAACUAAAAAAACCCCUCACCUUUUUCCCAAACAAGCUCCCAAUUGGCCUGGCGUGGGUGACAUGUUUUUACUGUGGUGCCCGCAGGGCUUUGGUUGGCCAGACUUUGAUCUCAUGCAUGCCUCUUCGGUCAGAGCCAGGAAGCACAGGGACUGAGGUUGGGUAGAGAGUGGGUCCCUUGAGGAGGACUGAGGUGCUACUGCCAGAAGGAGGGAGCAUGGGUGCCCAACAGAAAGGAAUACCAGUGUUCACUGCGAGGCUCUCUCCUGGAGCCCUGGUGAUCCAGCAAGCAUUGACUGGGUCACUCUGAACAUACCUGGGGCUGGGUUUGAGGGGUGUCAUGUUUGGACCAUGAGCUCACAAGUGUAGAGAAAGCAAGCGCUGAGAGAGUAGGCUGAGCGCGGGAUGCGCAGCAUCCUGCCUGGUCCUGGACAGCUUUCUGGCCCCCGGUCCAGCCUCUCAGAGGGCCCAGCAGUGCUUCUAGCCUGUAGUUGUCUGAGACACCCUUGCACCCUGCCAGUAAGUAAGUGCCUACUUCCCCGAAGCUGUCGUGAAUUUUUUCCCCCCUGGCAAUCAAAGGGUCCAUGACUGGGAAGAGAAGGGCAAGAACAGCGUUAGACUAGCUCACGGGGUUUCCCUCCAGGAGCGGGCUUGAUUGAUGUGCUGGGAGCAGAAGCACCUUGCAGCGGAGCGAUGGCCUGGUGUGAACCGAAUCCUGCACAUCCGAGAGCAGCUCCCAGUUUCUUAAAGGACAGUUAGCAGCAGGAGGCGGAGGAGGGUUACUUAAUCCCAUUAGGAAGCAACACCAUCCUUGCUGAAUGACUGCCUCCCAGCCCAUCCUUUUACACAAGAACCGCUUGCCUGAAGGAUGCUCCAUCACACAGCCUGGGUCUUUGGAGCUAGAACGUAAUCACACAGUCCUCCUCUGUCCGAGACUCUUUAUCCAGAAGGGAAAGCCCUAAAACCUUCUUUUGGGGGUUGCUAUUCCUUUGGUAUCUUCAGAGUUGAACGUACUGCUUGUUCUAAUACCAGAUACUUUUAUAACAAUUUCAUUUUUACUAUUUCUCUAUUCUCAUUUGAUUUGGAAAAGUCUCCGUGUCAUGAAGCAAAGGAGAAAACUCCCUCUCCUCUCCUGCCUCUUACCCUUCGAGGCUUUGCAUAGACAUCACCUCCUCCAGGAAUCCUUCCUUGAUGACCUCCACACUGCUUUCCAUGCUGCUUCUCCUGGUCUCCCGGCCUCCUGUGCUUCCGUCUAUCAUAGCCUUACCUCGAGACUAUAGUUUUUGUCCCUUUGUCUGUCUGCCUCACUGAUGUGUGACCUUCUUUAGAGCAGACCAUAGCUUUGGCUAAUAAUAGCUAACUUCUGUUAAGAACUUAUAUGCCAAGCGAAGUAGUUGGUCUUAAACACAGUCCUAGAAGGGAAGGGAGAUGCUAAACUUGCCCUCCUUUUCCAGUAAGAAAUGAAGGCACCUGGAGAGGUUUAGUAAAUACUAAAGUUCACUGCUCAUAAAGAAGGCAAAAUCAGGAUUCAAACCCAGGUAGCUCUGGUCCCCAGACGGCUCCUAAUCUCUGCUCCAGACUCUUGGGCCCCUCCUGCCUACCUCCUUGCAGUUAGCACUUAGGACGUGCUCAGUAAACACCGGGUGCCCUGAAGUAGAGACAAUGGCUAUGCGUGGGCAGCCCCACUUAGAAGGCCAGUGUCAGAAGUUCCCUGGUGGCCUAGCGGCGAAGGACCUGGCGUUGUCACUGCUGUGGCUCAGGGUCAGUCCCUGGCCCAGGAAUGUCCACAUGUCAUCACAGGUGGCUUUGCUUCUCGCAUGACUGUGAUGAGAGGUAGAGGCAGGGUUGGUGUCCCACUCAGGCAGAGUUUACAGCCAAGAGAGCACGUUCUCAAUAGGACCCUUCCUUCCAAGGCAGAGACACCUACUCUGUUUUGUUUUGUUUUGUUUUUUCUUUUGGUUUUUAGGGCUGCACCUGUGGCACGUGGAAGUUCCCAGGGUAUGGAUUGAAUCGGAGCCUGCACCACUGCCACAGCAACACCAGAUCUGACCUACAUCUGCAACCUACACCACAGCUUAUGGCAAUGCCAGGUCCUUAACCCACUGAGGGAGGCCAGGGAUCAAACCUGCAUCCUCAUGGUCACUAGUUGGAUUCUUAACUCGCUGAGCCACAGUGGGAACUCCAUAGACCUACUCUAUUUUUAAACACUCAUUUCCCACACCAGCAGCCUUCUCAGAGGCUUUAGCUGCGGGAAUAUAGGGUGCAAAGUAACUUCACAGCAAUCUCACAGCCGUUUGGGGCUGAGAAACAAUUUGGAGCCUCAGAUCGUCCAAGCGCAUUUCAGUUGCAUCGUUUCGAAAGAAUUCAGGCAUGUGUGGAGCUCAGCAUCUCCAACAUCUUGGACCCCAGUUCUCGUCCACACACACGCCCCGCCUGACCAGGAGCAGGGCUGCCUGGGCCCCCCCAGUGAGCGCUCACGCCCUGGUCCUAGAGCCCAGCCCGGGGGCCUGCUUCCCCACCCUGCUUACUCGUGGAGGUUUCCUCCUAAUCCACUGAGGUAAUUGUUUGGUUCUUGGAUGUGGCCAUGCAUUUCCGAAUGACUGUAUUUGAGUACUUAUCUAAUUGCUUUUGGAGAGGAGAGGGAGCGUGAGCUAUGCUUUGUCUUCAUGGAGCCACGCCCCCGAGUCUCACUUGCUUGAAAUAGGUCAUUUAAUUUUUCUAUCAUCACAGUCAGUAUUCAGUCAAAGGAAGAAAUUCGGGAAACCAUAACGAUAGUAAAAAAAGGUACCAACAUGCCAAAAAUAACCACUGUUAGUGUUUCAGGUUGAAUCCUUCUGGUUGUUUUCAGGGAUGUAAUCUCACACAUACAUGCAUGUGACUGGAGUCAUACUUACCAUCCGUGGUCCCUAAAUUAAAUUAUUUCGGAGCAAACAGAUGUCCAGCUUCUGCUUUCCCUUCCCCUCACCCCAGAAGACUUGGCCGGUAUUAGUGUCUGUAAAGAGAAAUGCAGAAGACUUUGUUAUCUUUUCAGUGAGUCUAAAACUCUGUUCGGGAGUUCCCUGGUGGCUCAGCAGGUUGUCAUUGCUGUGGCUCCCGUUUGAUUCCUGGCCUGGGAACUUGCGCAUGCUGCAGGUGCAGCCGGAAAAAAAAAAAAAAAGAAACCAACUUUGUAACUUCAGUGCUACAAAUGUGACUCAGGUACCCCGACUGCAUGCAGGCUGUAACCACAGGAUGAAGUCAUAUUUCCUUUUAAAAUCCUCCAAACAUGAUCAUGGGAGCCCCUGGCAGUUUGAUUGCUGGAAAUUAGCUGCCAUCACGGUGGCACCCGCCGUUCCUGAGCUCCCGGGCAACCGUCUCGCCCACUCAAGGCUCUGCCCCUCGGGGUUUGCUCCGUGGCCCCUGACGUUGCUGCCCACGCUGAAGGUGACCCUCCUUUGAUGGCUGGGCACCUGGGCACAGUUGCCUUCCUGUCGUCACCUUUGCUUUGUCUUGGGGUCAGGGAGUGGGGGACAGUGCCUUCUCUCACUUUGCUGUUCAAACCCCAGUAUGACAGCCGGGCCUGUCCCAUGUGUCCCCUGUGUCCCCCCAGCACAACUGAGGCCAGGGCAGACUUUAAUAAGACUCAGCCAAUGGUGUAGGGAUCGGGGCAGAGACUACAGCCUGGGGGGAACUUGCAGUUGCUCAGAUGUGGCUGCCCUCAAGUGCAGGGGUCUUGGAGGGGUGACUCUGCCGUCCUUCUGGCCUCCACCUCCCUUGAAAGGGCAGGCGACUGCCCCAGCAGGGGAGGGUUCCUCCUGGAGUGCAGCUCAGAGCCGAGAAUCCCAGAGCACAGGGAGUCCCACCCUCUCCUCCUCGGUCCUCUGGCCUUCACUCGGGCUGCGGGGGCUGCGGUGGGUGGGGCUGGGGUCCUCCAUGGGCCUGAGGGGGUUGGAAGCAGGUAUGAGAGGAUGCGGAGACCGUCCCCCUGAGUCCUCUGUGGGUCCUUCUGCACCUGACCUGCACCCGAAGUGGUCCUGCCCGUGACUUGUCAGAGACUUGAUUUGUCUUUUUAGGGCCGCACCUGUGGCAUAUGGUGGUUCUCAGGCUAGGGGUCCAAUCAGAGCAGAGCUGAACCCGAUUCCCAACCCACUGAGUGAGGCCGGGGAUUGAACCCGCAUCGUAAGGGAUACCAGUUGGGUUCAUUACUGCUGAGUCACAAGGGGAGCUUCCCAGAGACUUGAUUUUCGGCGAAGGUCUCCAGGGUCAGGAACUCAGCGAGCAAAGGAACCAGAGUCCCCAUUUUUGUCUCCAGCUUAGUGGGUGAUGAUGGGAAGCUGUGGGCCCUGGAGUCAGGUGGACCUGGGCUCUGGUGUCUGCUCCCCUCUCACAAGCUGCGUGUCACCCCAGUAGCUCAGUCUCCGUAAGGCAGAAGGGCCACUGAAAGUACAGAGAAACAGGCAACCACGGUUCGUGGACGCUCGUAUUUUCUUUUUUUUUUUUUCAAUUUCCUCUCCUUUUGGAGGCCUACGUCUGUGCUCCUGUGUCCUCCGUGUCUUCCACCAUCUGGACCGAGUGGAAGAGCCCUCACUCUCACGUAAAUAACCCUGUUCACCGCAGUGGAGAUCCGCGCCCUCCAGAUCCGCUAGAUCUAGGUGACCAUCUGGUGCUCUGAGCCGCUCCUGCUUCGUGUAUCGGACGCAGAUCCAUUGAGCCCCCACACAGACACAGGAGGUGACAGACAGCCCGCCCUGUGGGACCGAGCUCGGCAGUGCUCUGACAUCUGAACACAGCCCCUGUGUCUGCCCGGACCUGUCCUUCCAGCCACUCAACCAUGCCUUCCUUUUAAAAACUGUGUUUAUGUCAGUGAGUGUGUAUUCAGGGCCUGCUUUGUCCUGGGGCAGGGAAAACAGCAGUGGACAAAAUCAGCCAGGUCCCCGCCCUCCGGGAGCUUCUCCUCUGGCUCUGAGAGCCAAACAGUAAACAGACAAAGAGGCAAAUAUCUAGUGUGCCCGUGCUGGUCGAUGCUGGGGAGCAGCAGGGACUGUGGGUGCCCAAGCCAGAGGGAGUGAGGCAUACGCAUUCCAGGCAGAGGGAACAGCAAAGCCCUGAGGCUCCACCCACUUUGCUACCCUGUGACACCUGAAACCCGGCUCUCCCCACCUCCAGCAUCCUCUCAUCUUCACCUCAUUCUCCUUUCAUUUCUCUCCUGUUCCGUGUUGGCCUCUGAACCUGCCCUGCCUUUGCCCCAGCCCUGUUUCCCUUCCACAACUGAUCCAUCUGACGCCUUGCUUUGUGCCUCAGAUCGAAACCUCCCUACCUGGGUAACCUAACCCUAUCCCCAGACCUAGCAUAGCUGUAAGAACCACGUCCCUUUCCUUACAGCUCUUUAUUCAAGUGAAAUUUGUUCCUGUGUGUGAUUAUUUGCAUAAGGGCAGCAGCCUUCCCUUAUGCAAAUAAGGGAAUAUGCAAAUAAGGCUGACCAUGGGCCCCAGGAGGGCAGGGUUAUGCCUGGCUUUUUUUCUCCCUGUGGCCCAGCCCUGAGCUUGGUACCAUAAGAGGCACCAGUGGUUACUCUGAGGAGGGAACACUGGUUUCUACUGGGGGCCAGAGGGAAUGGAGGAAAAAAGACAACUGCCCAGUGUCUAGCUCUUGUCACCUACGAAACCAGUCAGGUGCCGUCUACUGUGACAGAUGGUCUUUGGGUCCUGUUGGCCAUGCAUGAAAUUGGGGUCAAGUGUCCAGAAAUAGUAGCGCUUGGGCUGGAGUGUGGCAAGGGCACCGUAGUCCAUUCCCCGAAAUGGACAGUCUGUCUGUCAGCUGGCAUCAACAGUUACCGUGGUGUCGCCGUUCCAGGUGGCACGGACCCCGGGCUGGUCCCAUUCCACUUCUAAGCUGAAAAGGCCUCCUUCCUGAAAAGGCACGAGGGGUGGGGCUGCUGGCAGUUCCUGGUACACAGUGCAUUUCCUCCUUUCCAAGUCUGCCUCAUUUACAUAACCCAGUGAACCAAAAAGUCGGUUUUCUCCAGCGAAGUCAUUCAUCUUAUUCUCGGCAUUUGGCGGCCAUAAUGCCCCUCCAUCAGCGUGGUCAUGUGGUAAUUUGGGCAUUUUGUUCCAGCAACAAGGACACUUAUAGUUAAUAACUCAUGAAGCCAUGUCAUUAAGAGGAAAGUUUUGUUAGGAUCCAUUAACACGGGCUGCCAACCAACACACAAAUCAUUUCAUUCCUUGGAUAUUAAGGAAGCAAAGUGAAUUGGGACCCUAAAACCGUUUUAAAAGAACCUUUCAGGAGUUCUCAUCGUGGCGCAGCAGAAAUGAAUCUGACUAGAAACCAUGAGGCUGCGUGUUUGAUCCCUGGCCUCGCUCAGUGGGUUAAGGAUCCAGCAUCCUUGUGAGCUGUGGUGUAGGUCGCAGACGUGGUUCAGAUCUCACGUUUCUGUGGCUGUGAUGUAGGCCGGCAUCUAUAGCUCCCAUUAGACCCCUAGCCUGCGAACCUCCAUAUGCUGAGGGUACGGCCCUAAAAAGACCAAAAAAAAAAAAAAAAA